UAGUCAUGCAUUUAUAAUGGCAUCAUCAACCAUUAUAUACAUAUAUAGAAUAACAAAUGAACCUUAAUGUUUCACAUCAAAUAUCCAUAUACACAUAAUUAGACCUCGACCGUCAACGGAGUGACUCUGGGCACGAUUGAUAACACUUAGUGGCGCGUUAAACCUACCGAGCAAUGUAUAGGGAGGAGCAUCUCGUCCUAGGAUCCAACCACCUUUAACUCAGGAAACCUAAAACAUGAAUUUUUAAAAACAUGAGUACAAACUCAGUGAGUGAACAUAGGAAGAGAACAAGCAUCAAUACAGGAAGUUUUAAAAAAAAACCUAAUGCACUUAUGUUGAGAACAAUGCAAUUUAGUUUAGCUCUUAUCAAAACCCCUCAUGUAAACCCCAAAUAAGUAAAUCACUUGAUAAAAAGGGUCCAUGCUCAACAAAGGAUUUGAAAAGUGAAAACUUUAAUAGCAUUCAUGCAAUUCAAGUCAGGUAAAUGAUAGGUCCCUGCUGCAGUGGAAAGGCAUUCUCGCUACAGCGAGAUUUCGACCAGCAUUACCCCUCCAAAUCCGAGAGUUUCUCGUUGUAGCGAGAAUGAAUCUCACUACAACGAGAAACAGAGCACCAUGAAAAAGUUUCAUUUAUUUUAGGAAAAAGCCAUCAUGCUAAAAUGAUAAAAAAAUCAACAUGAAACGCAUAAUAAUUCCCAAACUUCAACAUGCAAGAUUCACAUGUGCAACACCAUAUACCAUACUCAUGAACUUUCUAUAACAUGCAUAUCUAUAUAUGUAUAUAUAUAUAUAUCCAUCACCAUACACACCCUUCCAUCAUCAUCAGCUCAUAUGCACUCCCACUAGCAUAUGGCUAGGUCAGCAUUGGCUUAUGCACACUCCUACUCGCACAUAGUCGGGUUAGCAUCGAGUUAUACGCAC
rnacentral:lncRNA from 1 species